rnacentral:tRNA from 1 species
UCUAAGUUAGCUCAGUUGGUAGAGCGCUCCACUGGAAAUAGAGAGUUCCGUGGUUUAAUACCAGGACCAGGCA